UACGUAGGGUGCAAGCGUUGUCCGGAAUUAUUGGGCGUAAAGAGCUCGUAGGCGGUUUGUCGCGUCGAAUGUGAAAACCCGGGGCUCAACCCCGGGCCUGCAUUCGAUACGGGCAGACUAGAGUUCGGUAGGGGAGUCUGGAAUUCCUGGUGUAGCGGUGAAAUGCGCAGAUAUCAGGAGGAACACCGGUGGCGAAGGCGGGAUCUCUGGGCCGAUACUGACGCUGAGGACGAAAGCGUGGGGAGCAAACAGG
rnacentral:rRNA from 1 species